UAAGGUCUCCAGAGACGUGCCUGAACCAAAACUUCAGAUCUGAGCAUCCUUGAACUCUUGGCAAGUUUGGAUUCAGUUCUGGAUACACAGAUUGCAGUGAUGUCUUCCCACUGAGCUCAGGGAGAAACUGCUUCUGAGCUGAGGAAAAGCAAGGAGCUGGAGCCUCCAUCUGCAGCCUCCCUGGACCUGGUGGCUCAUAACAACAAAGCAGAGCAAGGAGUGCGAGACAACACCAAAACUGCUG